AACACAUGCAAGUCGAGCGGAUGAGAGGAGCUUGCUCCUGGAUUCAGCGGCGGACGGGUGAGUAAUGCCUAGGAAUCUGCCUGGUAGUGGGGGACAACGUUUCGAAAGGAACGCUAAUACCGCAUACGUCCUACGGGAGAAAGCAGGGGACCUUCGGGCCUUGCGCUAUCAGAUGAGCCUAGGUCGGAUUAGCUAGUUGGUGAGGUAAUGGCUCACCAAGGCGACGAUCCGUAACUGGUCUGAGAGGAUGAUCAGUCACACUGGAACUGAGACACGGUCCAGACUCCUACGGGAGGCAGCAGUGGGGAAUAUUGGACAAUGGGCGAAAGCCUGAUCCAGCCAUGCCGCGUGUGUGAAGAAGGUCUUCGGAUUGUAAAGCACUUUAAGUUGGGAGGAAGGGUUGUAGAUUAAUACUCUGCAAUUUUGACGUUACCGACAGAAUAAGCACCGGCUAACUCUGUGCCAGCAGCCGCGGUAAUACAGAGGGUGCAAGCGUUAAUCGGAAUUACUGGGCGUAAAGCGCGCGUAGGUGGUUUGUUAAGUUGGAUGUGAAAUCCCCGGGCUCAACCUGGGAACUGCAUCCAAAACUGGCAAGCUAGAGUAUGGUAGAGGGUGGUGGAAUUUCCUGUGUAGCGGUGAAAUGCGUAGAUAUAGGAAGGAACACCAGUGGCGAAGGCGACCACCUGGACUGAUACUGACACUGAGGUGCGAAAGCGUGGGGAGCAAACAGGAUUAGAUACCCUGGUAGUCCACGCCGUAAACGAUGUCAACUAGCCGUUGGGAGCCUUGAGCUCUUAGUGGCGCAGCUAACGCAUUAAGU
rnacentral:rRNA from 1 species